UGGGGAAUAUUGGACAAUGGGGGCAACCCUGAUCCAGCCAUGCCGCGUGAGUGAUGAAGGCCUUCGGGUUGUAAAGCUCUUUUGGCGGGGACGAUGAUGACGGUACCCGCAGAAUAAGCCCCGGCUAACUUCGUGCCAGCAGCCGCGGUAAGACGAAGGGGGCAAGCGUUGUUCGGAAUUACUGGGCGUAAAGGGCGCGUAGGCGGUUUGCUUAGUCAGGCGUGAAAGCCCUGGGCUUAACCUGGGAUGUGCGCUUGAUACUGGCAGGCUUGAGUGUGGGAGAGGUUGGUGGAAUUCCCCGUGUAGAGGUGAAAUUCGUAGAUAUUGGGAAGAACACCGGUGGCGAAGGCGGCCAACUGGACCACAACUGACGCUGAGGCGCGAAAGCGUGGGGAUCAAACA
rnacentral:rRNA from 1 species